rnacentral:lncRNA from 1 species
CUUUAUGCAAAAUGAUGGAUCCUUUUUGGAUCUAAAUACACACGGUUUGUCUGAACUAUUAAAAUAUAUAUUUAUAUCAUAAAUAAUGAAGGAAGCAAAUGGUACAGAAAACAUAGAGGUUUAUAGGUGGUUCUUUCUAAGACAAAUAGGUGUGUUGCCCACCCAGUAUUUCGCCCAGCUGGACAAAGUUGGUAACCUGGGACCACACAGUGGUAGCUGCCUACAGAGGUACCAAGGCUUUUAUUCCAUCAGCCCCUUUCCAGUUCUUCCUUCCAUGCUCAGAACCUGCCUUUUUCAGAGUGAGUUGCCAUCUGUGAGCAAUCUACAUUCCCAGCCUCAUCAUUAAUUUGUGUCAUUUCUUGAGAACAGCACUAUCAUGUACUAAGGGCGUAUAUGGAUGUGUUCUUGACCUUGGAGCUGAUCUCUUCAAAGCCAUGCUGGCAACCAAAGUGUCUGUGCCCACGUGGCUGAGCCUCUCUGCAUCCCCGUGCCAUUAUUUCCAUGCACGUAGAAAUGAGGAUGUAAAAGGAAGAAUGACACAACGUGGACGGAAACAACAGGCUGGUGCAGCUGGGAUAUUUACAGAUAAAGGAAGGACCACAAGGUACUUGUAGCAAAUCAUGUCAUCUCAUUCUUCAUUCAGGAUACCGUAAUGCAGAUGUAGAGUGAAUCAAAAAGCAUAGAGGUUUUUUUUUUUCUUUUCACAAACAAAGCAGGAAAAAAGGGACAAAAAUGAAUGUGAAGAGAGGCAAACAAAGAGCUGAGUCCUUGUGAGUCCUUGUCUCCUGCUUCAGGGCUGUGGAGAAUGGCAUGGUGUGAGAGAGAUUUUUUCCUACAAGCACAGCAAAGGUGCUGCAUCACCCUCUGCAGGGUGUCUGUGAGUGUAUUAAGGUCUGCCUGGGGCCAUGUAAGCCCCUCGUGUUGGAACAAUCCCCUUGCCAUAGCUUCAUGCAUUCCCAUGCAUCAGCCAUCUCCACUCCCAGAAGCUCCAGCUGCUUUCUGGGGCUGCACCACCAGAGAUGGCAUAGAAUCCAUCAGAGGGGUGGAUGUGCACAGCAGGAGAGCAUCCAUCACCAGCAGCGUGUUGGAAUUGGGCAGCACAGGGUGGAUCCAGGGCUCUCAUCCAACCGACUGCAAAACAGCUGCCCUAUUUUAACUUACCAUUCCAGCCUGCAGAAAGACACAGGGUUCUGGAUGAGAGUGGCUGCGUAGAUCAGGAAACGAUGGACUCAGAAUCACAGAAUGACCAAGGCUGGAGAAGAUCUCUAAGACCACCCAGUCCAACCAUCCACCCAUCACCAGUAUUUCACCCCUAAACCAUGCCCCUUAGUACAGCAUCUCGAUGUUUCUUGAUCACCUCCAAGGAUGGUGACUCCACCACCUCCCUGAGCAGUCUGUUCCAGCACCUGGCUACACUUUUGGAGGAAAAAAUCCCUACUAUCCAACCUGAACCUCCCCUGGCACAUAAAAGCAUUCAAUAAAAAUAGGUUGGUAUCAUUAAAAAUGUGGGGA